AGUGAACGCUGGCGGUAGGCCUAACACAUGCAAGUCGAACGGCGGCACAGUAAGAGCUUGCUCUUACGGGUGGCGAGUGGCGGACGGGUGAGGAAUACAUCGGAAUCUACUUUUUCGUGGGGGAUAACGUAGGGAAACUUACGCUAAUACCGCAUACGACCUACGGGUGAAAGCAGGGGAUCUUCGGACCUUGCGCGAUUGAAUGAGCCGAUGUCGGAUUAGCUAGUUGGCGGGGUAAAGGCCCACCAAGGCGACGAUCCGUAGCUGGUCUGAGAGGGUGAGCAGCCACACUGGAACUGAGACACGGUCCCGACUCCUACGGGAGGCAGCAGUGGGGAAUAUUGGACAAUGGGCGCAAGCCUAAGCCAGCCAUACCGCGUGGGUGAAGAAGGCCUUCGGGUUGUAAAGCCCUUUUGUUGGGAAAGAAAAGCAGCAGGUUAAUACCCCGCUGUUCUGACGGUACCCAAAGAAUAAGCACCGGCUAACUUCGUG
rnacentral:rRNA from 1 species